UACGUAGGUGGCAAGCGUUGUCCGGAUUUACUGGGCGUAAAGGGCGUGCAGGCGGUCUGUUAAGUGCAGGGUGAAAGCUCCCGGCUCAACUGGGAGAGGUCCUUGCAUACUGGCGGACUUGAGGGGGGUAGAGGAAAGUGGAAUUCCAGGUGUAGCGGUGAAAUGCGUAGAUAUCUGGAGGAACACCGGUGGCGAAGGCGGCAUCCUGGACCAAUUCUGACGCUGAGGAGCGAAAGCUAGGGGAGCAAACGGG
rnacentral:rRNA from 1 species